rnacentral:rRNA from 1 species
AUUGAACGCUGGCGGCAGGCCUAACACAUGCAAGUCGAGCGGAGCGGCGGACGGGUGAGUAAUGCCUAGGAAUCUGCCUGGUAGUGGGGGAUAACGUCCGGCAACGGGCGCUAAUACCGCAUACUAUCAGAUGAGCCUAGGUCGAAUUAGCUAGUUGGUGGGGUAAAGGCCUACCAAGGCGACGAUCCGUAACUGGUCUGAGAGGAUGUUCAGUCACACUGGAACAGAAACACGGUCCAGACUCCUACGGGGGGCGGCAGUGGGGAAUAUUGGACAAUGGGCGAAAGCCUGAUCCAGCCAUGCCGCGUGUGUAAGGAAGGUCUUCGGAUUGUAAAGCACGUUAAGUGGGGAGGCGGUACCAGCAGAGUAAGCACCGGCUAACUACGUGCCAGCAGCCGCGGUAAUAC